rnacentral:sRNA from 1 species
AUAUCUCUCUGUACGGGAAGGAUGAGAAGCUUCGACCAAGGUUCGAUUCGAGCGCAGCGAGAAAGCGUUGCCGCAGGCAACGACCCGAAGGGCGAAGCGCG